rnacentral:lncRNA from 1 species
UACUCUUUUACUGCCAGCUACUUUGCAUUUUUUUUUUAUUUCGAUUUACUAGAGUCACUUGUUUAUUUUUCUAUUUACAUUCUCGCAAUGUAUUUGUAUAUCUCUAUUUAUAUCACCAUACUUUAUUCUAUCGAUCUUACUCUAUUCUAUCUAUCUUACUCUAUUCUAUCUAUCUUACUACCAUUCACCUCAUUUCAUAUGUUAUAGAACCGUUACUUUUCAUUCAAACGAAAUCUUCAUCUUAUUUAUCUCAUCUGUUCAUCAAUUAUUAUUUUCUAUCAUCAUCUUUCACAAUACCAACUUACAUAACUAUUCUUUAUUAUCUACCGUCUUACUUGUAAUAUGACUGACUCAUUAUUUUCAUUUUCAUUUUCAUUUUCAUUCAAUAGCGACACUUUAUUCCAUUUCUUAUUAAUCAUCGUCAUUAUCACCUUACACAUAUCCAAUGCAACCAUGUAACUGUAACCAACCCAUCAUCAAUAGUGAGCAUCGUCGUCCUAUUCAAACGAUUACUCUCUUUACUCAUUUACUUAUUUACUUAUUUACUCAUUUACUUAUUUACUCAUCUACUCAUCUACUCAUCUACUCUACUCACUUACUCAUUUACUCAUCUAUUCGUCUUCAACAAUUUCAAUUUUCAUUACGAUACCUUGUCAUUUCAUUCAUCUCUUUACUUUGUAUAUCUAUUUUCAUUUUUUCUUGCGACUUGAUUAUUUACAGAUUUUCUGAUUGUCUAUACUCAAAUACAUACAUCACAUUCUCACCAUACACAUAUCAUAUCCUGUAUAACCGUAACCACCACUCAUUAUUUAACGAAAGCACCACCUCUCAUUACUUGUCGAGUUCAACAUUUUCUUUAAACAAAAUACUGAAAUAGUUGAUCCCAACGAUUUCACUUUUCGUUACCAAUUCUAUGCCAUCGUUUACAACAUUCAUCUCCCAUGACUCUUCAUUAUUCCACAAUAACAAACAAAUAGCGAGAUUUUACUCAUGUCUAUUUUAUAGAAAUUGUGUCCAUACAAAAACGACUUUAACUUUUUAACCAUUUCGUUUUGUCUUGGUACUCAAUUUAGAUCGUAAUCUUGAUUACUGACAACAAUCGUUUCGGCUGGAUUUUGUUUUAUACAAUCGAACGAAUGUUGUCAGAGUAUUUUACCUCUCAGCGUAAUGUGUAGUUAAGUUUUACCAGACACUGGCGUAGCACUAGUACUAAUAGCAGUGUUAGUGUUACGGUUAGUGUUCAUAUCACUGCUACUCCCUGGCUGUAGUGGGGACGAAGACGAAAAAGAUGCUUUAUAACCCGAAUGUGUUGCAAUGGCUGGUUUCGGUAUUUCUGGCAUUGUCGGUUUCACUCCAUACAUCGUAGACACGGUUACAAUUCACCAAGUAACGAAUCUGAACAUCUUGAGCAGUAAAUACAGUUAGCAAACGAUGCACAACAUACACAUUCGCAAUCCAUUUCAUUUGCGAGAAACGAUCGAACACACACACAUCGUGUUAUCAUUAAGAAAGUUUUUCAUCAAAUCCUUCACGUAGCUUGACCAUGUAGAGUCAUAUUUCUCGUAAAACAAUGCUGCAAUCGCAUACUUGCCAUCUCUUCCAGCUCGGCCUGUCUCCUGUAUACAUAAUCCAUAGAUGAAGCUGGCAAUCUAUAGUGUACUACUAAACGCACUCCCAUAUAGUUGAUACCGAGUCCAAAUCCCUUGCUAAGCGAUCAUGAUUCGUGUCUUUCCAUUUGCGUUCUCCAAUUGAUCAACUCGCUUGAUGAAUGGGUGCUUUGUUUCUACCAACAAUCCAUGGGUCGGGUUGUCUCGAAUCUGCAAUAGUUCCUGCCACUUAUAGCUUGCACGAAAAAAGUUGACGAAAUAAUCCGAUGGCAGAUAAUGCAAGUUGUCCAUAGUGCGUCCAUAGAUGUAGAGCGCUGUGUUUCGUGUAUGUUCAGCCUGUAAA